GACGUAGGAUGCAAGCGUUGUCCGGAAUCAUUGGGCGUAAAGCGUUCGUAGGCGGUAUACCAAGUCUGAUGUUAAAGCCCGGAGCUCAACUCCGGUUCGGCAUUGGAUACUGGUAAACUAGAGUGCAAUAGAGGUAAGGGGAAUCCCUAGUGUAGCGGUGAAAUGCGUAGAUAUUAGGAGGAACACCGGUGGCGAAAGCGCCUUACUGGGUUGUAACUGACGCUGAGGAACGAAAGCCAGGGUAGCAAAUGGG
rnacentral:rRNA from 1 species